AGCGAACGCUGGCGGCAGGCUUAACACAUGCAAGUCGAGCGGGCACUUCGGUGUCAGCGGCCGACGGGUGAGUAACACGUGGGAACGUACCCUUUGGUUCGGAAUAACGCUGGGAAACUAGCGCUAAUACCGGAUACGCCCUUUUGGGGAAAGGCUUGCUGCCGAAGGAUCGGCCCGCGUCUGAUUAGCUAGUUGGUGGGGUAAUGGCCUACCAAGGCGACGAUCAGUAGCUGGUCUGAGAGGAUGAUCAGCCACACUGGGACUGAGACACGGCCCAGACCCCCGCGGGGGGGAAGGGGGGGGGAAUAUUGGAAAAGGGGGGAAAGCCUGACCAAGCAAGGCCGGGUGAGAAAAGAAGGCCUAGGGGUGGAAAAGCUUUUUUGUCCGGGACGAUAAUGAGGGUACCGGAAAAAUAAGCCCCGGCUAACUUCGGG
rnacentral:rRNA from 1 species